AUUGAACGCUGGCGGCAGGCUUAACACAUGCAAGUCGAACGCGCGGCGGACGGGUGAGUAAUGCUUGGGACUCUUGCUUAUGGAGGGGGAUAACUACGGGAAACUGUAGCUAAUACCGCGUCCCAUCAGAUGAGCCCAAGGGGGAUUAGGUAGUUGGUGAGGUAACGGCUCACCAAGGCGACGAUCCCUAGCUGGUCUGAGAGGAUGACCGGCCACACUGGGACUGAGACACGGCCCAGACUCCUACGGGAGGCAGCAGUGGGGAAUAUUGGGCAAUGGGCGAAAGCCUGACGGAGCAACGCCGCGUGAGUGAAGAAGGCUUUCGGGUUGUAAAGCUCUUUUGGUAGAGAGGCGGUAUCUAAAGAGGAAGCAACGGCUAACUACGUGCCAGCAGCCGCGGUAAUUC
rnacentral:rRNA from 1 species